CGGGACGGGUGAGUAAUGCUUGGGAAUCUAGCUUAUGAGGGGGGAUAACUACGGGAAACUGUAGCUAAUACCGCGUAAUAUCGAAAGAUUAAAGUGUGGGACCUUCGGGCCACAUGCCAUAAGAUGAGCCCAAGUGGGAUUAGGUAGUUGGUGAGGUAAAGGCUCACCAAGCCGACGAUCUCUAGCUGGUCUGAGAGGAUGACCAGCCACACUGGGACUGAGACACGGCCCAG
rnacentral:rRNA from 1 species